rnacentral:rRNA from 1 species
UACAGAGGGGGCAAGCGUUGUUCGGAAUUACUGGGCGUAAAGGGCGCGUAGGCGGCCUGUUAAGUCGAACGUGAAAUCCCUGGGCUCAACCCAGGAACUGCGUCCGAUACUGGCAGGCUUGAAUUCGGGAGAGGGAUGCGGAAUUCCAGGUGUAGCGGUGAAAUGCGUAGAUAUCUGGAGGAACACCGGUGGCGAAGGCGGCAUCCUGGACCGAGAUUGACGCUGAGGCGCGAAAGCUAGGGGAGCAAACGGG